rnacentral:rRNA from 1 species
GUUAGGAAUAUUGCACAAUGGGCGAAAGCCUGAUGCAGCAACGCCGCGUGAGGGACGACGGCCUUCGGGUUGUAAACCUCUUUUAGUAGGGAAGAAGCGAAAGUGACGGUACCUGCAGAAAAAGCACCGGCUAACUACGUGCCAGCAGCCGCGGUAAUACGUAGGGUGCAAGCGUUAUCCGGAAUUAUUGGGCGUAAAGAGCUCGUAGGCGGUCUGUCGCGUCUGCUGUGAAAACUGGAGGCUCAACCUCCAGCCUGCAGUGGGUACGGGCAGACUAGAGUGCGGUAGGGGAGAUUGGAAUUCCUGGUGUAGCGGUGGAAUGCGCAGAUAUCAGGAGGAACACCGAUGGCGAAGGCAGAUCUCUGGGCCGUAACUGACGCUGAGGAGCGAAAGCGUGGGGAGCGAACAGGAUUAGAUACCCUGGUAGUCC